CCUACGGGCGGCAGCAGUGGGGAAUUUUCCGCAAUGGGCGAAAGCCUGACGGAGCAACGCCGCGUGAGGGAUGAAGGCCUCUGGGCUGUAAACCUCUUUUAUCAAGGAAGAAGAUCUGACGGUACUUGAUGAAUAAGCCACGGCUAAUUCCGUGCCAGCAGCCGCGGUAAUACGGGAGUGGCAAGCGUUAUCCGGAAUUAUUGGGCGUAAAGCGUCCGCAGGCGGUCUUGUAAGUCUGUCGUUAAAGCGUGGAGCUUAACUCCAUUUCGGCGGUGGAAACUACAAGACUAGAGUGUGGUAGGGGCAGAGGGAAUUCCCGGUGUAGCGGUGAAAUGCGUAGAUAUCGGGAAGAACACCAGUGGCGAAGGCGCUCUGCUGGGCCAUAACUGACGCUCAUGGACGAAAGCUAGGGGAGCGAAAGGGAUUAGAUACCCCUGUAGUCCUAGCCGUAAACGAUGAACACUAGGUGUCGGGGGAAUCGACCCCCUCGGCGUCGUAGCUAACGCGUUAAGUGUUCCGCCUGGGGAGUACGCACGCAAGUGUGAACUUAAAGGAAUUGACGG
rnacentral:rRNA from 1 species